rnacentral:rRNA from 1 species
CAGCAGCCACGGUAAUACGCAGGGUGCGAGCGUUAAUCGGAAUUACUGGGCGUAAAGCGUGCGCAGGCGGUUGUGUAAGACAGGUGUGAAAUCCCCGGGCUUAACCUGGGAACUGCGCUUGUGACUGCACAGCUAGAGUAUGGCAGAGGGGGGUGGAAUUCCACGUGUAGCAGUGAAAUGCGUAGAGAUGUGGAGGAACACCGAUGGCGAAGGCAGCCCCCUGGGCCAAUACUGACGCUCAUGCACGAAAGCGUGGGGAGCAAACAGGAUUAGAUACCCCCGUAGUCCCUGUCUCUUAUAC